GACGAACCGUGCGAACGUUGUUCGGAAUCACUGGGCUUAAAGGGCGCGUAGGCGGGUGGGCAAGUCUGGGGUGAAAUCUUUCGGCUCAACCGGAAAACAGCCUUGGAUACUGCUUGUCUUGAGGGAGGUAGGGGCAGAUGGAACUUCGGGUGGAGCGGUGAAAUGCGUAGAUAUCCGAAGGAACGCCGGUGGCGAAAGCGAUCUGCUGGACCUCUUCUGACGCUGAGGCGCGAAAGCCAGGGGAGCGAACGGG
rnacentral:rRNA from 1 species